UACGAAGGGUGCAAGCGUUGUCCGGAAUUAUUGGGCGUAAAGAGCUCGUAGGCGGUCUGUCACGUCGGCUGUGAAAGUCCAGGGCUCAACCCUGGGAUGCCGGUCGAUACUGCCGGACUAGAGUUCGGAAGAGGCGAGUGGAAUUCCCGGUGUAGCGGUGAAAUGCGUAGAGAUCCGGAGGAACACCAGAGGCGAACGGCGGCCGGACUGGACCUGACCUGACGCGUGAGGCGGCGAAAGGCGUGGGGAGCAAACACGGAUU
rnacentral:rRNA from 1 species